CAAUAGCGUAUAUUAAAGCUGUUGCGGUUAAAAAGCUCGUAGUUGGAUUUCUGUCAAGGACGACUGGUCCGCCCUCCGGGUGAGCACAUAGUUUGGUCUUGACAUCUUGCUGGAAGCUGUUGCUGCACUUGGCUGUGUGGCGCAGUGUUCAGCACUUUCACUUUGAGGAAAUUGGAGUGUUUCAAGCAGGCACAUGCCUUUGGACACAGUAGCAUGGAAUAAUUAGAUUGGGCUUUUGCUCCAAUUUGUCGGUUUCUGGAGCUGAGGUGAGUAUUAAUGGGGAUUGUUGGGGGCAUCCGAAUUUAGCCGUCAGAGGUGAAAUUCUUGGAUCUGCUAAAGACGGACAACUGCGAAAGCGUUUGCCCAGGAUGUUUUCAUUGA
rnacentral:rRNA from 1 species